ensembl:lncRNA novel transcript
AUCUGUGUCUCUCGCUGGUGCUGGCACAGGAGCUUGGGAUCUGUCUCCUCUUUCGCCUCCUGCACCUUGAGAGCCCUGGGCUACUCUGUCACAGCCCCUGUUGCCCUGCGAUCUGUAGGUCCUUGGGGACGCAUAGUUAAGGUGCCAGGACAUCCUGGAAGCUGGGAAAUGGCUGAAUGCUAUCCCAGUGAUUGUACGUGCCCUGUUUGCUGAAUCUACUCAUCCUUAAGGGUAUGUAUUCAUUUCGUACCACCGUAGUGGAAGAGAGACUAUCCCUAUCAAUACACCUGGUAACAUUCCCAACAGUAAGUCGUGAGAUUCUGCUUGAAAUCACCUCUCAGACAAAUAAAAAACAGUCCUGGGAAAUGUACGACACUCAUUCUGCUAAAGAAAUAGGCAUCAUAGCUGGGGAACAGGGAUUCAAAAGACCCAGGCUGUUCCCUACAUAUGUUUCCUCCUCAGACAUCAGUUAAUCAGUCAAUCAAGUCAAGUGAGAGUGGAGGCCAUGUAUUCCCUCUUAUUCUUGGGCACUCUCCUCCAAGGAGGAAAAGGCCAGGAGGUCCUGUUAGAGGAUGCACUCUGAGAGCCCGGGCUCCCUAAGGUAUGAGAGUUCUAACCAGCAGGUGUAGACUUUUCAGGAGUGAGGAAUGAGGCAGGCAUUCCAAACCUGGAGCUUCAUCACCUUUUGUUUCAUCUCAAGACAAUUCUGAGGGGCUGUUUUGGAGCGUGUCUGGAAGGUGAACGUUGAAGAAGAGUGUGGGCUUUGAUGUGACUCAGAUGAGAUCUUUCAUGGGGAGGCAGGAAUUCAAUGCCCAGAAUCUGGGCUGGUGUCUUUGAGGUCAGUAGGUUGCCUCUUUGUAUCCAAGUCCAUUGUUACUAAAUUGGAGGCUGGAGAUUCUAAAUGGCUUCCAGACCAUCUCUCUGAUUCUCUUUGGGAGAUUGGGUCUGAAAAAGACAAUGUCAGUAUUUUUGGGAAAUUCUAGAAAGUCUGCUUGGAAACCUGGGAAGACCUCUUGCCUAGUGCCUAAAUAUUCAAUGUGCAGCUCUAGCCAUGUAGAUGCUUGGUAGGUAUAGAGCUGGGUUUUCAUUUAUAUCAGCAAAACCUAUGUCAGAGUUGAAGAAGUAGUCAAGACAAAGUGUCUUGGUCGCAGGCCGGGGAACAUCUUAAAAGCAAACUUCUAGCCUGAUGACUCUUGGCAAUGAGUGUUGGGUCCUGGCUAAAGUGCCUUGAAUGCAGCAUGAGGCCAAUCCAUGAAUCCAACUUCCAAUGGAGAAAUGUUAAUAUUUUUUCAGUUUGAAUCAAUCAGGGUGAAAUUACCUUGCUAUUGGUUUGCUUACUUUUUAUUAUUUCAUAUAAAAUCUAAGACAAAAUACAUUAAAUGCUUAUUGAUAUAUGUAUUUAUUCUUCACCUGGCUCAUAAUAUUUGCCUAAUUUUAAACUUUCUUCUAUUUUGUAGGUUUCAACUUAUUUCAUUGUAAGAUAUUGUUAAAUCUAAUACGGGCAUUGUCACUUUUACAAAUAAUUUUAUUUUAUUUCAUGUAUUUCCUAUUCACUUUUUACAUUUAAAUUAUGGACCAUUUCAUCAUAUAAAAAGCUCCAUUUCUAUUUUAAAAAUAAGUCUUUGGGUUUUUUUGUCUUGUAAUUUCCAUAUUACAUAGUAAUGAGAUAAACGUUAAUGUUUUCAGGGUAUUUUAAAUUUUAAAUAAUUACUCAUUAUAUCCACGUGAAAUUUGUUUUUACUGCAUGUGUGAGUUGGAGAACCGUUUUCACUUCUGACUCAUCUUUACUGUGAUCUCCUCAGAACUCAUACCUCUUGUAGUUGGGAGAUUGCAGUAUAUAAUUCCAAUAAAUGGGGCAAAUUCAAUAAUAACAUAAUACAAAUGAGUUUGAAAGCAGGACAUGUCUUCAAAGCAUACACAACAUGGGCCUAUAUAUGUACAACAAUAAUAAUUUAUAAGUUACAGUUUGGAUGGGAAUUAAAAGUACAGAAAAUUUGUUAAAAUAAAUUAAAAUGGAGAUCACGUCUCAAUAAUCUCUGAGCAGACGAAAUUAGUUAGGUCUCAUAAGUGAUCUCAACCUUGCUUGAUUUGCAAAUACAAGCAAAACUUAAAUAUUUCUUGUAGCUGCCUAUUUAAAAAAGAGAAAUGAAGCUCAACCAAUCAGGAGUAGCCAACAUCCUUAUAUAAAUAGAAACUGUCCAACAAGAUAAACAGACGAACAAAAAACAAUAAAAAAGUUGUGCUACCACCAAUCAAA